rnacentral:rRNA from 1 species
GACGAACGCUGGCGGCGUGCUUAACACAUGCAAGUCGAACGGAAAGGCCCUGCUUGCAGGGUACUCGAGUGGCGAACGGGUGAGUAACACGUGGGUGAUCUGCCCUGCACUUCGGGAUAAGCCUGGGAAACUGGGUCUAAUACCGGAUAGGAGCCAUUUUUAGUGUGAUGGUUGGAAAGAUUUUUCGGUGUCGGAUGAGCUCGCGGCCUAUCAGCUUGUUGGUGGGGUAAUGGCCUACCAAGGCGGCGACGGGUAGCCGGCCUGAGAGGGUGGGCGGCCACAUUGGGACUGAGGGACGGCCCAGGCUCCUACGGGAGGCAGCAGUGGGGAAUAUUGCACAAUGGGCGCCAGCCUGAUGCAGCGGCGCCGCGUGGGGGAAGACGGCCUUCGGGUUGUAAACUCCUUUCGCUAGGGACGAAGCUUUUUGUGACGGUACCUAGAUAAGAAGCACCGGCUAACUACGUG